AGUGAACGCUGGCGGUAGGCCUAACACAUGCAAGUCGAACGGCAGCACAGUAAGAGCUUGCUCUUACGGGUGGCGAGUGGCGGACGGGUGAGGAAUACAUCGGAAUCUACUUUUUCGUGGGGGAUAACGUAGGGAAACUUACGCUAAUACCGCAUACGACCUACGGGUGAAAGCAGGGGAUCUUCGGACCUUGCGCGAUUGAAUGAGCCGAUGUCGGAUUAGCUAGUUGGCGGGGUAAAGGCCCACCAAGGCGACGAUCCGUAGCUGGUCUGAGAGGAUGAUCAGCCACACUGGAACUGAGACACGGUCCAGACUCCUACGGGAGGCCGCAGUGGGGAAUAUUGGACAAUGGGCGCAAGCCGGAUCCAGCCAUACCGCGUGGGUGAAGAAGGCCUUCGGGUUGUAAAGCCCUUUUGUUGGGAAAGAAAAGCAGCAGGUUAAUACCCCGCUGUUCUGACGGUACCCAAAGAAUAAGCACCGGCUAACUUCGUG
rnacentral:rRNA from 1 species